UGCCACAGCCAUAUCACCCUGCAGCCCAAGACUGGUUGCCUACUGAAGCUAAGCAGGGUUGAGCCUGGUCAGUACCUGGAUGGGAGACCUCCUGGGAAAACUAGGUUGCUGCUGGAA
rnacentral:rRNA from 1 species